rnacentral:lncRNA from 1 species
UCUCCUCUUUACAGUAUAUACAAAGGAAGACACUGAUUGCCUUUUCUUGUAAUUUUGCUUCCAUUCAAUUGCCAAUUUUAAGCUGACACUUGAAAAUACCCAGCAGAAUAUAUCCUUCUUCAGUUUCAUUAACAUGGCCUAUUGCCUUACAGAAAAAAAAAAAAAAGACAAAAUUAAAAACAAGUAUGACUGCACACCAUCAAAACAAAGAAAGAGAGAGAAAAGAGAAAUGACAAAAUCUCAAAAGAGAUUAUACUUCCCGCCAGAAGCAAGCUCAGGAACCAGAGAUCAGAGGGUUAGAGGUUUUCACUACUGAAAAUAAAAGCCACCCACCCACCCAAAGGCAGGGGGGAAAUGUCCUUGAAUAAUAGAGCUUCUAAGACCAAAAGCUAUGGUUUUUCCAGUGGUCAUGUAUGGAUGUGAGAGUUGGACUG